rnacentral:rRNA from 1 species
GCAGUAGCCGCGGUAAUACGAGGGGGGCAAGCGUUGUUCGGAAUUAUUGGGCGUAAAGGGUGCGUAGGCGGUUUGGCAAGUUUGGUGUGAAAUCUUCGGGCUCAACUCGAAGUCUGCAUCGAAAACUGCCGGGCUUGAGUAUGGGAGAGGUGAGUGGAAUUUCCGGUGUAGUGGUGAAAUGCGUAGAUAUCGGAAGGAACACCUGUGGCGAAAGCGGCUCACUGGACCAUAACUGACGCUGAUGCACGAAAGCUAGGGGAGCAAACAGGAUUAGAUACCCGAGUAGUCCCUGUCUCUUAUAC